rnacentral:rRNA from 1 species
AGUGAACGCUGGCGGUAGGCCUAACACAUGCAAGUCGAACGGCAGCACAGUAAGAGCUUGCUCUUACGGGUGGCGAGUGGCGGACGGGUGAGGAAUACAUCGGAAUCUACUUUUUUGUGGGGGAUAACGUAGGGAAACUUACGCUAAUACCGCAUACGACCUACGGGUGAAAGCAGGGGAUCUUCGGACCUUGCGCGAUUGAUUGAGCCGAUGUCGGAUUAGCUAGUUGGCGGGGUAAAGGCCCACCAAGGCGACGAUCCGUAGCUGGUCUGAGAGGAUGAUCAGCCACACUGGAACUGAGACACGGUCCAGACUCCUACGGGAGGCAGCAGUGGGGAAUAUUGGACAAUGGGCGCAAGCCUGAUCCAGCCAUACCGCGUGGGUGAAGAAGGCCUUCGGGUUGUAAAGCCCUUUUGUUGGGAAAGAAAAGCAGCAGGUUAAUACCCCGCUGUUCUGACGGUACCCAAAGAAUAAGCACCGGCUAACUUCGUG